rnacentral:rRNA from 1 species
GACGAACCGUGCGAACGUUGUUCGGAAUCACUGGGCUUAAAGGGCGCGUAGGCGGGCCGUCAAGUCCGGGGUGAAAUCCUCCAGCCUAACUGGAGAAGAGCCUCGGAUACUGGCGGCCUUGAGGGGGGUAGGGGCAAGCGGAACUAUGGGUGGAGCGGUGAAAUGCAUUGAUAUCCAUAGGAACUCCGGUGGCGAAGGCGGCUUGCUGGACCCCAUCUGACGCUGAGGCGCGAAAGCCAGGGGAGCAAACGGG